rnacentral:misc_RNA from 1 species
UUGUGGAGGAGGACGCCGAAGGUGGGGCUAAUGACUGGGGUGAAGUCGUAACAAGGUAGCCGUACCGGGAGGUGCGGCUGGAUCACCUCCUAACAGGGAGACAACAAAAUGUAAAUAUUAAUUUUGUCACCUUAGGUCGAUCGGUAUCUCAGAUUUUUAUUUUUUAAGAAUUUCAGUUUCUAAGUUUUUUCUAGGUCACACCCAUCACUUUUUCCUGGGCCAUUAGCUCAGGUGGUUAGAGCGCACCCCUGAUAAGGGUGAGGUCCCUGGUUCAAGUCCAGGAUGGCCCAUAUCUCUAUGUUGGGGGUAUAGCUCAGUUGGUAGAGCGCCUGCUUUGCAAGCAGGAUGUCAGCGGUUCGAGUCCGCUUACCUCCACUGAAUACCACCUCUUACAUAUUUAAAGAGGGAAAUUGUUUUGAGUCGUGUCCUAAUUUGCUCUGAGCGAAUCUAGCUUCCUAUUUUAUUCAAUAAAUAAGAUGCUUGACUCAUUGAAUUUUUUUUCAUUGUUUUCAGAGAACCUUGACAACUGCAUAGAUUAUUUUUGAAGACAAUAAGCAUCUUUAAUGAUGCAGAUUUAUUAUUUGUGCGAAUGCAUUAAAUAGCAAUUCUAUUAAGCUGAUGCUUCAAUUAUUGAGGUUAUUGGUCAAGCUACAA